rnacentral:rRNA from 1 species
CCUACGGGUGGCAGCAGUGAGGAAUAUUGGUCAAUGGGCGCGAGCCUGAACCAGCCAAGUCGCGUGAGGGAAGACGGUCCUAUGGAUUGUAAACCUCUUUUGUCGGGGAGCAAAAGACGCCACGCGUGGCGUUCCGAGAGUACCCGAAGAAAAAGCAUCGGCUAACUCCGUGCCAGCAGCCGCGGUAAUACGGAGGAUGCGAGCGUUAUCCGGAUUUAUUGGGGUUAAAGGGUGCGCAGGCGGAAGAUCAAGUCAGCGGUAAAAUUGCAGUUGAAACUGGCAGUCUUGAGUACAGUAGAGGUGGGCGGAAUUCGUGGUGUAGCGGUGAAAUGCAUAGAUAUCACGCAGAACUCCGAUUGCGAAGGCAGCAUACCGGCGCGCAACUGACGCUCAUGCACGAAAGCGUGGGUAUCGAACAGGAUUAGAUACCCGGGUAGUC